rnacentral:rRNA from 1 species
AACGUAGGAGACAAACGUUAUCCGGAGUUACUGGGCGUAAAGGGCGUGUAGGCGGUUUGUUAAGUCUGGCGUGAAAGCUCUCGGCUAAACCGGGAGAGGUCGUUGGAUACUGGCAAACUUGAGGACGGUAGAGGCGUGUGGAAUUCCGGGUGUAGUGGUGAAAUGCGUAGAUAUGCGGAGGAACACCGAUGGCGAAGGCAAUCCCCUGGGCCUGCACUGACGCUCAUGCACGAAAGCGUGGGGAGCAAACAGG